CUUGAGGGACCCCAGGUACAGCGGGGUCUCCCGGUCCUGCCCGUAGGUGGCGAGCAGCGCUUGCGCCUC
rfam:Actinosynnema mirum DSM 43827, complete genome.